ACCCUGUUCAGGUACCUGGUGACCAAGCUGGAAAUCAGAGCAAAAGGUUGGCAUGUCUUUGGAAGGCAGUGGUAUGAUCUGCACAUCUGACACGAGCACAACGGACUUACAGGAAGCAAGCUAGCAGUGAAUUAAUGUUUUCGUAGAAGUGUCUGUCAUCGCCCAAGAACUCUAUCCUGAGGGGAAAAACUAAUUCAGAACCCAUCACUGUAUAUGUAAAGGAUGCUGAGUCUGCCAUACAAGCCAUACAAGGGACCUCUUACUCACCUUUUGAAUGAAGUACAAGGGUAAGUCAAGAGUAAGAAGCUUCCCACAAUUUCUCCAUGCUCAUAU